rnacentral:misc_RNA from 1 species
UUUCCGUAGGUGAACCUGCGGAAGGAUCAUUAGAGAUGGCCGUGGUGGCCCUAAAGACCCGCGUCCUCGGACGUGAACCCAACCCAACCAAACGUGAACCGUCGGCCUCGGCCGUCAAAACUUUUACACACCUUCCAGGCCAGAACGUGAGAAACAUAACAGUUAAUACAACUGUCAGCAACGGAUCUCUUGGCUCUCGCAUCGAUGAAGAACGCAGC